rnacentral:lncRNA from 1 species
AACACCAAGAACCAGCUAAGCCAGCUGUCCAGGCACCCUGGUCCACUGCAGAAAAGGUCCACUUACCAUUUCUGCACAGGAAAAUGUAAAAGUGGUGUAUUACCGGGCACUGUACCCCUUUGAAUCCAGAAGCCAUGAUGAAAUCACUAUCCAGCCAGGAGACAUAGUCAUGUGGAUGAAAGCCAAACUGGAGAACCCGGCUGGCUUGGAGGAGAAUUAAAAGGAAAGACAGGGUGGUUCCCUGCAAACUAUGCAGAGAAAAUCCCAGAAAAUGAGGUUCCCGCUCCAGUGAAACCAGUGACU